GUUGUAUGGUUAAGUGACUAAGCGUACACGGUGGAUGCCUUGGCAGUUGGAGGCGAUGAAGGACGUACUAACUUGCGAUAAGCCUAGUCAAGCCAGUAAGAGGCGCUUGAGGCUAGGAUUUCCGAAUGGGGAAACCCACCUGCUUGCAGGUAUCGUUAACUGAAUACAUAGGUUAACGAGGCGAACGCGGAGAACUGAAACAUCUAAGUACCCGUAGGAAAAGAAAUCAACCGAGAUUCCGAAAGUAGCGGCGAGCGAAAUCGGAGCAGCCCUUAAGCUUUAGUGUAGUUAGUGGAAUAUGCUGGAAAGCAUGACGAAACAGGGUGAUAGUCCCGUACACAAAAACUUAUCUAAAGUGAAAUCGAGUAGGUCGGAGCACGUGAAACUUUGACUGAAUAUGGGGGGACCAUCCUCCAAGGCUAAAUACUCCCAACUGACCGAUAGUGAACCAGUACCGUGAGGGAAAGGCGAAAAGAACCCCUGUGAGGGGAGUGAAAUAGAACCUGAAACCGUGUACGUACAAGCAGUAGGAGCCUACUUGUUGGGUGACUGCGUACCUUUUGUAUAAUGGGUCAGCGACUUAUAUUCUGUAGCGAGGUUAACCAUUUAGGGGAGCCGUAGCGAAAGCGAGUCUUAACUGGGCGCUUAAGUUGCAGGGUAUAGACCCGAAACCCGGUGAUCUAGCCAUGGGCAGGUUGAAGGUUGAGUAACAUCAACUGGAGGACCGAACCCACUAACGUUGAAAAGUUAGGGGAUGACCUGUGGCUAGGAGUGAAAGGCUAAUCAAACCGGGAGAUAGCUGGUUCUCCCCGAAAUCUAUUUAGGUAGAGCCUCGGACGAAUACUUACGGGGGUAGAGCACUGUUAAGGCUAGGGGUCAUCCCGACUUACCAACCCUUUGCAAACUCCGAAUACCGUAAAGUAAUAUCCGGGAGACACACGGCGGGUGCUAACGUCCGUCGUGGAGAGGGAAACAACCCAGACCGUCAGCUAAGGUCCCAAAGUGUAUGUUAAGUGGGAAACGAUGUGGGAAGGCUAAAACAGCUAGGAGGUUGGCUUAGAAGCAGCCACCCUUUAAAGAAAGCGUAAUAGCUCACUAGUCGAGUCGGCCUGCGCGGAAGAUGUAACGGGGCUAAACAUACCACCGAAGCUACGGCUGCGUACGUAAGUAUGCGGGGUAGGGGAGCGUUCUGUAAGUGGCUGAAGGUGUGCCGGGAGGCAUGCUGGACAUAUCAGAAGUGCGAAUGCUGACAUGAGUAACGACAAGAGGAGUGAAAAACUCCUCCGCCGGAAGACCAAGGGUUCCUAUCCCAUGUUAAUCAGGGUAGGGUGAGUCGACCCCUAAGGCGAGGCUGAAGAGCGUAGUCGAUGGGAAACGGGUUAAUAUUCCCGUACUCGGUAUGAAUGCGAUGGGGGACGGAGCAGGCUAGGCAAGCAUGGCGUUGGUUGUCCAUGUGAAAGGCUGUAGGCUGGUGACUUAGGAAAAUCCGGGUUGCCAAGGCUGAGAGUCGAGACGAGCCACUAAGGUGGUGAAGUUGUUGAUGCCCUACUUCCAGGAAAAGCCUCUAAGCUUCAGUUCAUACUGAAUCGUACCCUAAACCGACACAGGUGGUCAGGUAGAGAAUACUAAGGCGCUUGAGAGAACUCGGGUGAAGGAACUAGGCAAAAUUGUACCGUAACUUCGGGAGAAGGUACGCUCUUGUUUGUGAAGGACUUGCUCUGUAAGCAAACGAGAGCCGCAGUGACCAGGUGGCUGGGACUGUUUAUUAAAAACACAGCACUGUGCAAAAUCGUAAGAUGACGUAUACGGUGUGACACCUGCCCGGUGCCGGAAGGUUAAUUGAUGGGGUUAGCUUAGGCGAAGCUCUUGAUCGAAGCCCCGGUAAACGGCGGCCGUAACUAUAACGGUCCUAAGGUAGCGAAAUUCCUUGUCGGGUAAGUUCCGACCUGCACGAAUGGUGUAACCAUGGCCACGCUGUCUCCACCCGAGACUCAGUGAAAUUGAAAUCGCAGUGAAGAUGCUGUGUACCCGCGGCUAGACGGAAAGACCCCGUGAACCUUUACUACAGCUUGGCACUGAACAUUGACCCUACAUGUGUAGGAUAGGUGGGAGGCUUUGAAGCAGAGACGCUAGUUUCUGUGGAGCCGACCUUGAAAUACCACCCUUGUAGUGUUGAUGUUCUAACUUAGGCCCCUGAAUCGGGGUUGAGGACAGUGCCUGGUGGGUAGUUUGACUGGGGCGGUCUCCUCCCAAAGAGUAACGGAGGAGCACGAAGGUUUGCUAAGUACGGUCGGACAUCGUACGGUUAGUGUAAUGGUAGAAGCAAGCUUAACUGCGAGACAGACACGUCGAGCAGGUACGAAAGUAGGUCAUAGUGAUCCGGUGGUUCUGAAUGGAAGGGCCAUCGCUCAACGGAUAAAAGGUACUCCGGGGAUAACAGGCUGAUACCGCCCAAGAGUUCAUAUCGACGGCGGUGUUUGGCACCUCGAUGUCGGCUCAUCACAUCCUGGGGCUGAAGUCGGUCCCAAGGGUAUGGCUGUUCGCCAUUUAAAGUGGUACGCGAGCUGGGUUUAGAACGUCGUGAGACAGUUCGGUCCCUAUCUGCCGUGGGCGUUUGAGAAUUGAGAGGGGCUGCUCCUAGUACGAGAGGACCGGAGUGGACGAACCGCUGGUGUUCGGGUUGUGAUGCCAAUUGCAUUGCCCGGUAGCUACGUUCGGAACUGAUAACCGCUGAAAGCAUCUAAGCGGGAAGCAGGCCUCGAGAUGAGUUCUCACUUUGACUUAGAGUCAACUGAAGGGCCGUUGAAGACUACAACGUUGAUAGGCGAGAUGUGGAAGUGCUGUGAGGCAUUAAGCUAACUCGUACUAAUUACCCGAGAGGCUUAACCAUACAACGCCAAAGUGGUUU
rnacentral:rRNA from 1 species